GAAGCCCACCAGACCGCCGCUGGUGCAAUCUGGGAAACCAGGCACUGGAGGAACGUCCGGACUGCACAGGGCAGCGUAGCAGCUAACUGCUGUCCACCGUGAGGUGAGGAUUAGAGCAACAGAGACGAGUCGGAGCAGGCAGCAAGCCACCAAGGGUGUUUCACCCGAAGCGGGCGGCGCCCGCUUCGGGUGAAACGGGCAAUCUCUACGCGCAGCAACACCAAGUAGGCACACGUUGACGGGGCCCCCGGAGUGUGCGGGUAGGUGGCAUCGAGCCGGCGGGGCGACCCCCGGCCCAGAGUAAUGGCGGUCACGCGCGGGCAACCGCGUGCACAGAAUCCGGCUUAUCGGUGGGCUUCACAC
rnacentral:RNase_P_RNA from 1 species